rnacentral:lncRNA from 1 species
GACUGAAGACGUUGCCUUGGUGCGUGGAGUCCGCCGGCAACCAACUCCGGCGAGUGCGAACGGAGGCGCGGUCGCCGAGGCGGCGGUCUAGGGCUCCGGCGCUGGCGAUAAGGAAGGCGGAGGAGAAGUCGGAGUGGUGAAUCGUAAGUAGUCGACGGCGAAACGCACGAGAUCGGCGACCACGUGCCGCCACGUGAGCGGUUAGUGAUUCCGAGAUAUAACGUCCCCAACAAGCGUCGGAAGCAGCUCCGGGAAC